AUUGAACGCUGGCGGCAGGCCUAACACAUGCAAGUCGAACGGUAGCACAGAGAGCUUGCUCUCGGGUGACGAGUGGCGGACGGGUGAGUAAUGUCUGGGAAACUGCCUGAUGGAGGGGGAUAACUACUGGAAACGGUAGCUAAUACCGCAUAACGUCGCAAGACCAAAGAGGGGGACCUUCGGGCCUCUUGCCAUCAGAUGUGCCCAGAUGGGAUUAGCUAGUAGGUGGGGUAACGGCUCACCUAGGCGACGAUCCCUAGCUGGUCUGAGAGGAUGACCAGCCACACCGGAACUGAGACACGGUCCAGACUCCUACGGGAGGCAGCAGUGGGGAAUAUUGCACAAUGGGCGCAAGCCUGAUGCAGCCAUGCCGCGUGUAUGAAGAAGGCCUUCGGGUUGUAAAGUACUUUCAGCGGGGAGGAAGGCGAUAAGGUUAAUAACCUUGUCGAUUGACGUUACCCGCAGAAGAAGCACCGGCUAACUCCGUG
rnacentral:rRNA from 1 species